rnacentral:misc_RNA from 1 species
GAUGAAGAACGUAGCGAAAUGCGAUAAGUAAUGUGAAUGGCAGAAUUCAGUGAAUCAUCGAAUCUUUGAACGCACAUUGCGCCCCCUGGUAUUCCGGGGGGCAUGCCUGUUCGAGCGUCAUUUCACCACUCAAGCCUCGCUUGGUAUUGGGCAACGCGGUCCGCCGCGUGCCUCAAAUCGUCCGGCUGGGUCUUCUGUCCCCUAAGCGUUGUGGAAACUAUUCGCUAAAGGGUGUUCGGGAGGCUACGCCGUAAAACAACCCCAUUUCUAAGGUUGACCUCGGAUCAGGUAGGGAUACCCGCUGAACUUAAGCAUAUCAAUAAGCGGAGGA